GUUGAGGAAGAUAAUGACGGUACUCAACAAGGAAGUGACGGCUAACUACGUGCCAGCAGCCGCGGUAAAACGUAGGUCACAAGCGUUGUCCGGAAUUACUGGGUGUAAAGGGAGCGCAGGCGGGAGAACAAGUUGGAAGUGAAAUCCAUGGGCUCAACCCAUGAACUGCUUUCAAAACUGUUUUUCUUGAGUAGUGCAGAGGUAGGCGGAAUUCCCGGUGUAGCGGUGGAAUGCGUAGAUAUCGGGAGGAACACCAGUGGCGAAGGCGGCCUACUGGGCACCAACUGACGCUGAGGCUCGAAAGUGUGGGUAGCAAACAGGAUUAGAUACCCUGGUAGUCCACACCGUAAACGAUGAUUACUAGGUGUUGGAGGAUUGACCCCUUCAGUGCCGCAGUUAACACAAUAAGUAAUCCACCUGGGGAGUACGACCGCAAGGUUGAAACUCAAAGGAAUUGACGGGGGCCCGCACAAGCAGUGGAGUAUGUGGUUUAAUUCGACGCAACGCGAAGAACCUUACCAAGUCUUGACAUCCCUUGACGAUGCUGGAAACAGUAUUUCUCUUCGGAGCAAGGAGACAGGUGGUGCAUGGUUGUCGUCAGCUCGUGUCGUGAGAUGUUGGGUUAAGUCCCGCAACGAGCGCAACCCUUAUGGUCAGUUACUACGCAAGAGGACUCUGGCCAGACUGC
rnacentral:rRNA from 1 species